CCUACGGGUGGCAGCAGUGAGGAAUAUUGGUCAAUGGGCGGAAGUCUGAACCAGCCAUGCCGCGUGCGGGAAGACGGUUCUGUGUGUUGUAAACUUCUUUUGUACGAGGGCAAAGCUGAGUACUUGUAUUCAGCUGAAGGUACUUGACGAAUAAGGAUCGGCUAACUCCGUGCCAGCAGCCGCGGUAAUACGGAGGAUCCAAGCGUUAUCCGGAUUUAUUGGGUUUAAAGGGUGCGUAGAUGGGUUGUUAAGUCAGUGGUGAAAGUUUGCGGCUCAACCGUCAGAUAGCAAUUGAUACUGGCAGCCUGGAGUACGGUUGAAGUAGGCGGAAUGCGUGGUGUAGCGGUGAAAUGCUUAGAUAUCACGCAGAACCCCGAUUGCGAAGGCAGCCUACCA
rnacentral:rRNA from 1 species